rnacentral:rRNA from 1 species
AGUGAACGCUGGCGGUAGGCCUAACACAUGCAAGUCGAACGGCAGCACAGUAAGAGCUUGCUCUUACGGGUGGCGAGUGGCGGACGGGUGAGGAAUACAUCGGAAUCUACUUUUUCGUGGGGGAUAACGUAGGGAAACUUACGCUAAUACCGCAUACGACCUACGGGUGAAAGCAGGGGAUAUUCGGACCUUGCGCGAUUGAAUGAGCGGAUGUCGGAUUAGCUAGUUGGCGGGGUAAAGACCCACCAAGGCGACGAUCCGUAGCUGGUCUGAGAGGAUGAUAGGCCACACUGGAGCUGAGACACGGUCCAGACUCCUACGGGAGGCAGCAGUGGGGAAUAUUGGACAAUGGGCGCAAGCCUGAUCCAGCCAUACUGCGUGGGUGAAGAAGGCCUUCGGGUUGUAAAGCCCGUUUGUUGGGAAAGAAAAGCAGCAGGUUAAUACCCCGCUGUUCUGACGGUACCCAAAGAAUAAGCACCGGCUAACUUCGUG